GGCGGGCGCGAGGAGAGAGAGAGAGUGUGUGUGUGAGGGAGAGAGAACGGCCACUGGACUCCAUUAACGCAAAACCCUUCAGGAGCUCCGUCGCUGGACUUUGGCGAUUUUUCUUUUCUCGGGAACCUUCCUCAUGAUAGGAUUAAAUACGCGGCUGAAGGAAAGAAAACGCGCAGACUGUUGAAGUUCUGGGAAGUGAACUGGUGUUUUGUGGAUUUGCUUCGGCGUAUUUGUGAAGGAUGGCGUUGGACGGUAUACGGAUGCCGGAUGGCUGCUACGCGGAUGGGACAUGGGAACUGAAGAUGCAUGUGACGGACCUCAACCGGGAUGUGUCUCUCCGAGUCACCGGGGAAAUUCACAUCGGCGGUGUGAUGCUCAAACUCGUGGAGAAACUUGAUGUGAAGAAGGACUGGUCAGAUCAUGCACUGUGGUGGGAAAAGAAGAAGACCUGGCUGCUAAAGACCCACUGGACGCUUGAUAAAUAUGGCAUUCAGGCCGACGCCAGGCUGCUCUUCACACCGCAGCACAAGCUGCUGCGCCUGCAGCUGCCCAACAUGAAACACAUGAGGGUGAAGGUCAACUUCUCUGACCGUGUCUUCAAGGCCGUGUCUGACAUCUGCAAAACCUUCAACAUCAGGCAUCCUGAGGAGCUCUCCUUACUGCGCAAACCCCGCGACCCCAAGAAGAAGAAGAAAAAGCUGGAGGAGGCAGAGGAGGAGGCACUGGAGCUGGAAGGACCGCUGCUCACUCCUGGAUCAGCCUCUGAGAUACUAUACAUUGGACCGGUAAAAGGGAGCAUCUAUUCUAGUCCUGGACUUUACAGCAAGACCAUGACACCUACCUAUGACUCUCGGGACGGCAGCCCUCUGUCCCCCACCUCAGCAUGGUUUGGAGACAGUCCGCUGUCCGAAGGCAAUCCCGGCAUCCUCGCUGUCAGCCAGCCCAUCACCUCACCAGACAUUGUGGUCAAGAUGUACAAACCACAGUCCCUCCUGGACAAGGCCAAGAUCAACCAGGGGUGGCUGGACUCCUCCAGAUCACUGAUGGAGCAGGAUGUGAAGGAGAACGAGGUUCUUCUGCUCCGGUUCAAGUAUCACAGCUUCUUUGACCUCAACCCAAAGUAUGAUGCCAUCAGGGUGAACCAGCUCUAUGAACAGGCCAAGUGGGCCAUCUUACUGGAGGAAAUCGAAUGCACCGAGGAAGAGAUGAUGAUGUUCGCCGCCCUGCAGUACCACAUCAACAAGCUGUCCAUCAUGUCCUCAGAGAAUCACAUGAACAACAGUGAGAAGGAGGUGGAUGAGGUCGAUGCAGCUCUCUCAGACCUGGAGAUCACCCUGGAGGGAGGAAAGACGUCCAACACGCUGGGUGACAUCACAUCCAUUCCUGAACUGGCCGACAAUGUAAAAGUCUUCAAACCAAAGAAGCUCACUCUGAAAGGAUACAAGCAGUACUGGUGCACGUUCAAGGACAUCACAAUCUCCUGCUACAAGAGCCGCGAGGAGGCCCACGGCACGCCGGCGCACCAGAUGAACCUGAGAGGCUGUGAAGUCACACCAGAUGUGAACAUCUCCGGUCAGAAAUUCAACAUCAAGUUGCUAAUUCCUGUAGCAGAUGGUAUGAAUGAGAUCUGGCUGCGGUGUGAUACUGAGAAGCAGUACGCUCAGUGGAUGGCAGCUUGUCGUUUGGCCUCCAAGGGGAAGACGAUGGCAGACAGUUCCUACAACUUGGAGGUCCAGAACAUUCUGUCCUUCCUGAAGAUGCAGCACAUGAACCCUGAUCCUCAGAUCAUAGAGCCCAUCACCACCGACAUCAACCCUGAGUGUCUGGUGUCACCACGAUACCUGAAGAAAUACAGGAACAAGCAGCCAGGCUUUGUCAGGGACUUGGUAAGUCACUCGUUUGACAGCUGGUAAAUGUCCGUGACUCACUAACACUGGUGCUGUGUCUUACUCCAGUAAUCCUUCCAUUAACCACUUUACCAUUUAUUGCUGUAGCUCAACCCAAAAGCUCACAUUUCAAGUUUGUUUUUAACAUUUAAAGAUCAUGUUUUGAGUCACUGGUGUCUCCGCUAGAACAGCUGUUUGCCUGACUGAUGUUGAGUGUGUGACUGCUGUAAAAGCUUUCAUUUCGUGAAUAUUUUAGAAAAAUUCACAAAACUGUCAGUCUUAUUUUAUAUAAUUUCAAGCAUGAUUAUAUCCCUAAAUAUAAUAAUAUCAUUAUUAUUAUCAUUAUUAUUAGUAUUGCAAUUAUUGUUUUGUGAUAUUAGUUUAGAUGACACUGUGCUGUUUUCUACAGCCCCUAAAGGGACAUGGUGACAGUAAGAAAAGAGAUGGGAGGAAAAAUUACACUCAAAUGUUUUUUGAGCAAAUGCAGAGUUUCUUGGGGAAACUCAAUAGUUUUGUGUGAGAAUGUAAAGAUUUUUGGGGAAAAGCAAUAGUUUUGUGUGAGAAUGUAAAGAUUUUUGGGGAAAAGCAAUAGUUUUGCGUGAGAAUGUAAAGGUUUUUGGGGGAAAGCAAUAGUUUUGUGUGAGAAUGUAAAGGUUUUUGGGGGAAACUCAAUAGUUUUGUGUGAGAAUGUAAAGGUUUUUGGGGGAAACUCAAUAGUUUUGCGUGAGAAUGUAAAGGUUUUUGGGGGAAAGCAAUAGUUUUGCGUGAGAAUGUAAAGGUUUUUGGGGGAAACUCAAUAGUUUUGCGUGAGAAUGUAAAGGUUUUUGGGGGAAAGCAAUAGUUUUGUGUGAGAAUGUAAAGGUUUUUGGGGGAAACUCAAUAGUUUUGUGUGAGAAUGUAAAGGUUUUUGGGGGAAACUCAAUAGUUUUGCGUGAGAAUGUAAAGGUUUUUGGGGGAAAGCAAUAGUUUUGUGUGAGAAUGUAAAGGUUUUUGGGGAAAAGCAAUAGUUUUGCGUGAGAAUGUAAAGGUUUUUGGGGGAAAGCAAUAGUUUUGCGUGAGAAUGUAAAGGUUUUUGGGGGAAACUCAAUAGUUUUGCGUGAGAAUGUAAAGGUUUUUGGGGGAAACUCAAUAGUUUUGUGUGAGAAUGUAAAGAUUUUUUGGGGAAACUCAAUAGUUUUGCAUGAGAAUGUAAAGGUUUUUGGGGAAACUCAAUAGUUUUGUGUGAGAAUGUAAAGGUUUUUGGGGGAAAGCAAUAGUUUUGCGUGAGAAUGUAAAGGUUUUUGGGGGAAACUCAAUAGUUUUGUGUGAGAAUGUAAAGGUUUUUGGGGGAAACUCAAUAGUUUUGCGUGAGAAUGUAAAGGUUUUUGGGGAAAAGCAAUAGUUUUGCGUGAGAAUGUAAAGGUUUUUGGGGAAAAGCAAUAGUUUUGCGUGAGAAUGUAAAGGUUUUUGGGGGAAAGCAAUAGUUUUGUGAGAGAAUUUUAAUGUUUCAUUGGGGAAUGCAAUAGUUUUGCAUGAGAAUGUAAAGUUUUUGGGGGGAAUGCGAUAGUUUUGCGAGCGAAUGCAAACUUCUUUGUGGAUACGCAAUAGUUUUUCCAAGAAAAUGUAACAUUUCAUGAGGGAAUGCAAUAGUUUUGCAAGAGAAUGCAAAGUUUCUCAGAGGAGUGCAAUACUUUUCAAGCAUUAAAAUUUUUCCUUCCAUCUCUUGUUUUUUUCCAUCAACAUGUCCCCAUGGGGCUCCUGUAAUCAGCACAUUAUUUGUAUAAUAGGAUAUUUAAAAUCUUACAGAAAUAGUUAUUUGAAAGGGGCUUCUGUGUAAUUGAAAGACCGUUUUAGGCGGUUUGUAGCAUGUCAGCUGAUCUGCUCUGAUAGAAACUUUCAUGAGGCAAGUCAUUGAUCAGUGGGAGACUCCAGUGACGUCACUCAUUUCUUUAUGUGAAAAUGUUUCAUGUUGUGGGGAAAUGGGGACUAAACAGUGGUAGCUGGGAUUGCAAUGGCUUCUGUGUAUGUAUGUUAAGUCGCAUGUGUAACAGAUCAUAAGGGAUGCUUGAAUAACAGGAGGCGUCUCGUAUGUUCACUGUGAUAUUAAUGGUGAUUGGAUGCAGCAGUGUCAUAUCGAAGUGUCUGGUGUUGCAUUCUUCUCUGGGGUUGUUUCCUAAUGACUCACUCUGUACUUCUGCUUAAGUUAUGAUGGCUUGUAGCACUUGUUUAUUAAUGUUCACAUAUGCAUUAUCCUCAGAUUUCCGCCCGUAUUCUGGAAGCUCAUCAGAAUGUGGCGCAGAUGAGCCUCAUUGAGGCCAAGAUGCGCUUCAUACAGGCAUGGCAGUCCUUGCCAGAGUUUGGAAUCACCCAUUUUCUUGCCAAGUUUCAGGGGGGCAAGAAAGAUGAGCUGAUCGGCAUCACCUACAACAGACUGAUCCGUAUGGACGCCAGCACAGGAGACGCCAUCAAGACCUGGCGCUUCAGCAACAUGAAACAGUGGAACGUCAACUGGGAGAUUAAGAUGGUCACGGUGGAGUUUGCGGACGAGCCCAGUCUGGCGUUCAUCUGUGCGGAGGUGGACUGCAAAGUGGUGCACGAGUUCAUCGGCGGCUACAUUUUCUUGUCCACGCGCGCCAAGGACCAGAACGAGUCUCUAGACGAGGAGAUGUUCUACAAGCUGACCAGCGGUUGGGUCUGAGCGCCGCUCGCCGCUCCGCGCCGCUUUAUUCUUUUACUUUCACACUUCUUCUUUCUCCUUUAACCACUCCAUCGUGGCCACAUCAUAAUAGGUUGAAAACUUGUUUCUUUUAAUUCUGUUUAUGCGCAUGAACGCGUUCAUAACACUAGCCGAAGUGCCGAGCGAGGACAUUCUGAGAACGUGCAGCGGUUUACUGCUUCCCUCCAGAAAUGAUUUCAUUGUCGAGAUGAAGCAAUAGCUAUGACCUUUCACCCUGAAUAGAAGUACGCCAGCGAAAAUGCCAAUUAUUUAUUUGUCACUAACUUACGUUGCAUCUCUCUGGGUAAUUGUUGAAUGUCGCGGUGCUCAUUUGUGCCAUCUUUUAUGAUAAUUUUGUCACAUUAAUGUGAUGUCGUAGAGAAGGAUUUACACUAGCUUCAGUGUUGCUGCUUCUGACCGUUGAGUAGAAGACACUACAAAAUCCAUUCGUUCUGUCAUUUCUAAGCACUUCUAGCGUUAGGUUUGACGUUUCUGUCCUGUCAUGUGUUCAACACUACAUUUAAUGACACAGAUAUUUUUUUACACUAUGAAGAAGGAGAGUCGCCCACUUUUUUGUAGCAAACAGCUUGCGGUGAAGCAACAUAGGAGAACGUUAUGAAUCUGCUUUCCCACUGUAGGAAGUUUCUUUUUAUUAUUAUUAUUUUCCUAUGAAGUCUGAUAUUUUAUUCCUCACUCUUUAUUGUGAACCAGUAUAGUAUUAUUCAAAAGCAUUUCUUUAAUACGCACCAGCGAUAGGUCACAAAUCAUGCGAUUUUCUUUUUAUUUCUUUCCAAAAUGAAGGAUAGCUAAAUGAAGUAUUAGAUUUGUUUUGUAUCUAAUGUAAAAAACACAGGUUUUAAAACAGAAAUUGUACAGUUAUUUUGUUGCUGCUUUUUUCUGUCAUUUUUUGGAAGUGUAUUUUUUCCAGAAGAGAGGGAAAAAAAGCCAUUUUUCUGACAUUUGAGGAUUGGUGCCUGUCGAUCUUAGAAAUAUAUAUAAGUGCAUAUGAAGAAGUGGAGAACGUCUCAAGCUCCUGGCUGGAAUAAAUUCAUGUAGAUUGUGCCAUUCUUGAUGUCUCCAGUGAGAAGGAGCUUUUUUUAUUUAGUUUCUCCUGCCUUAACUGAUAAAUAUCCACUGCUGCGAGAACAUAUAGGCUUUAAGAGCGUGUGUCAUACACUUCAACACUAUCGAGCGCUCAGACACUAAUGAAGGGCAGCAGUUCUCUGCCGUCUGUAGCGCAUCACUUCUUGUCAGUAUUGUCUCAUGAUGUUUCCCGUAUGAAGGUGGUUUCAGAGCCAGAAAUGAAGACUAUUAUUAUUUUUUUCUGUUUAUUUGGUUUUGUUUUCUCAGAUGUCAGCAGUGCGUUGCAUGGCCUGCUGUUUUAAGAUUGUAAAAAUGCCAUUUACCUGACAAAUAAAUAAAUAAAAUCAUUUUUAUUUAAAAUCUUAA